rnacentral:tRNA from 1 species
GAAGCUUAGUUUAAUUAAACCGAGGACCUUCAAAGUCCUAAACAGGGCACCAGAGCCCUAACUUCCU